rnacentral:misc_RNA from 1 species
UUGCGAUAAAGUGAUGUGAUGCGCAAGUCCACCACUUAUACGUGAAUCAUCGAGUUGUUGAACGCAUUGCACCGCGCCCUAAUCCGGCUGCGGUAUGCCCCUUUGAGCGUCAUUGUAUUCCUUCGGGAGUCUUUCCUUGCGAAAGACCCGAGUUCGGAGUCCUCGGUCUUUGGAUCGUGUUCUCUCAGAUGCGUCGCGCCGAUCGCCUGAUGGGUACUCUAAUGCCUGAGCGUGGAGUCCUUUCUGGGUUUGAGACGUGCUUGACCGGCCGUUGGGCUCGUGUCACCAAGUCCGCGUCCUUUGCGACGUCGGUACUACAACGCAUGACCUCAUCGGGGUAGGACAACCCGCUAGACUUAA